rfam:Caenorhabditis briggsae complete genome, chrV
CACUUCGGUCCGGAGUUGAUGGGUUAUCAAUAAUUGUUUCGUUUCCUGUUCGCAGGAGACAACCCCGGUUUCCUUGUGAAACCAAAACCGUUCUCUCGGGAACAAAACCUCUUCUCGUGUUCUGUUAAAGAAUACAUAACCCUUCCCAUCAACACCAACUUGACCGAAAU